rnacentral:rRNA from 1 species
UACGUAGGUGGCAAGCGUUGUCCGGAUUUACUGGGCGUAAAGAGCGCGCAGGCGGUCGUUCAAGUCGCGUGUGAAAGCCCCCGGCUCAACUGGGGAGGGUCACGCGAUACUGAUCGACUCGAAGGCAGGAGAGGGUAGUGGAAUUCCCGGUGUAGUGGUGAAAUGCGUAGAUAUCGGGAGGAACACCAGUGGCGAAGGCGACUACCUGGCCUGUUUCUUGAUGCUGAGGCGCGAAAGCUAGGGGAGCAAACGGG